CCAUGAUGUCCUCCUCCUCCUGGGGCCGGCUGCAGUCCUCCUGCGUAGAGGAUGAGAAAGGAUCAGUUUAUCACGGGAGAAGAGCAGAUAUCAUGGCCAUAUGAGAAUAUUUUCUUCAUGAAACACUGAGCUGCUCGUCCCUGUUACACAACUUCACUGGGGCUCUCAGGAGGUUCUACACCACUGACCUGACUCCCCCCCGGCUGCUGCUGAACACAUCCCCACUAUUGCUCACCUCCUCUGCUCCUGUUUUGUCCUCCAGCUUCAGUUUCGUACGAGUCAUGUGGCCACGAACGCCAGCCUGAAUUUUGGCAGCAGCCCUGUUGGCCUCAGGGUCAUCCAGGGGGAUGUUCAUGAUGUCCUUCUUCUGGGGCCCGCUGCACUCCUCCUGUUUAGAGGAGUACAAAGUUUUAGUUUAUCAUGGUAGGAGCCGAUUACCUUGGACAAUAUAUAAAUAUCCAUACAUCUCGGCUCCAGCCCCCCUCAAUCAGAUUUAAAUCCGGACUUUGAUUAACCCACUCCACAACUUUCAUUUUGGAUUUUUUGAGUCAUUCAGAAGUGGACUAGCUGGUGUCUUUCAGAUCACUGUCCUGCUGCAUAACCUGAGUGAGCCUGAGUUUCAGGGAAUGAACUAAUGGCUUGACAUUCACCUUCAGGAUUUUCUGGUAGAGAGCAGAAUUCAUGGUUACAUCAAUUACAGCACGUCGUCCUGGUCCUGAAGCAGCAAAGAAGCCCCAGACCAUCAAACUACCACCACCAUGUUUGACAGUUAGUAUGAUGUUCUUUUUAUGAAAAGUUGUGGUAGUUUUAUGCCAGAUGUGACGGGACUCAAACUUUCCAAAACGUUUAACUUUUGUCUCAUUCACAGAAUA